GACAGCGCAGCAAAAACACACACACACACACACACACACACACACGCAUGACACAUGCAACACACACGCACACACACACAGAGUCAGAGAAGAGACAUUUAAAUAUUCAAAUGGGGCCGAGCAGUAAUGAUAAACGACAAGGGAAAAGUAGAAUCAAGUAGCUAUCGAUGCAGAAAAUGAAAAGAGGAGAAAGAGAAAAGAGAGGAGGAGGGAAAUGAAGGCAGCAGAGGAGAGUUAAGCUAACAAGUGAAAGGAGGGAAGAAAGAGCAGACAGAUGGAGAGUGAUGGAGAGAAAGACGGAGGAAUGAAGUAAAUACGAGUGGAGGAGCGUUACAGUAAGAGGAAGAAAGAUGGAGAGAGUGAAGGACGAAAGAAGAUCAUAAAAGACAUACCAGGAGGAGAGAUGAAGCAGAGAUGGAGGGAUGAAGGAGGAGAGAUGGAGGGAUGAAGCAGAGAUGGAGGGAUGAGGGAGGAGAGGAAACAAAGGUCACCAUUCAGACAGAGAAGAAGUGAUGUAGAAAAAUCAGAAGAGAUCAAGUGACAAAGACGAAGAGAAAUAAGAAAACUCAGAGAAGACAGAAUAAUAGAGAGAAAGGAAUGAGGUCGAACGAGGAGCUCUGAAGGUGAACGAGUUAUUUUAUUUUUUCUGUAAAGAACUGAAGACCGGAGUGCUGCUGGAAACCUUUAAUCUGCUGCAGCUUUAACUCUACAUCGUAUCUAUACCGUCAGCGUUUAGUGAUGGAACACAUGAAGAAACACGACGACAUCUUCAUAAAAAAAAACAUCCUUCUUUCAUCUAAAUCAGGGGUGUCCACCAUGAGGCCCGUGGUCCAAAAGUGGUCCUCCAGAGGGUCCACCAUGAGGCCCGUGGUCCAAAAGUGGUCCUCCAGAGGGUCCACCAUGAGGCCCGUGGUCCAAAAGUGGUCCUCCAGAGGGUCCACCAUGAGGCCCGUGGUCCAAAAGAGGUCCUCCAGAGGGUCCAACAUGAGGCCCGUGGUCCAAAAGAGGUCCUCCAGAGGGUCCACCAUGAGGCCCGUGGUCCAAAAGCGGUCCUCCAGAGGGUCCAACAUGAGGCCCGUGGACCAAAAGCGGUCCUCCAGAGGGUCCAACAUGAGGCCCGUGGUCCAAAAGAGGUCCUCCAGAGGGUCCAACAUGAGGCCCGUGGACCAAAAGCGGUCCUCCAGAGGGUCCAACAUGAGGCCCGUGGACCAAAAGCGGUCCUCCAGAGGGUCCAACAUGAGGCCCGUGGACCAAAAGUGGUCCUCCAGAGGGUCCAACAUGAGGCCCGUGGACCAAAAGCGGUCCUCCAGAGGGUCCAACAUGA